GAUGAACGCUGGCGGCGUGCCUAAUACAUGCAAGUCGAGCGAACGGACGAGAAGCUUGCUUCUCUGAUGUUAGCGGCGGACGGGUGAGUAACACGUGGAUAACCUACCUAUAAGACUGGGAUAACUUCGGGAAACCGGAGCUAAUACCGGAUGAUAUUUUGAACCGCAUGGUUCAAAAGUGAAAGACGGUCUUGCUGUCACUUAUAGAUGGAUCCGCGCUGCAUUAGCUAGUUGGUAAGGUAACGGCUUACCAAGGCAACGAUGCAUAGCCGACCUGAGAGGGUGAUCGGCCACACUGGAACUGAGACACGGUCCAGACUCCUACGGGAGGCAGCAGUAGGGAAUCUUCCGCAAUAGGCGAAAGCCUGACGGGGCAACGCCGCGUGAGUGAUGAAGGUCUUCGGAUCUUAAAACUCUGUUAUUAGGGAAGAACAUAUGUGUAAGUAACUGUGCACAUCUUGACGGUACCUAAUCAGAAAGCCACGGCUAACUACGUG
rnacentral:rRNA from 1 species